AAGGGAUUAGUUAAAAUAUAACAUUGGAAUGUCAAACCAAAAUAACUUCAUAAAGUAUUCCUUU
rnacentral:tRNA from 1 species